CCUAAUUUAGGUAAUUUUUGUGCUUCAUCAGGAGCCUCGGAAAAUCAUCCAGGUCUCUCUGGACACCUAAGAAGCUCUGCUGCGUUCCUAUAAAUGAGUCUUAGGGCAGCACCUCUCAGUUCAAGGGAAGUCCACCCCUCAUGUUUGAUUCGCGCAGGUGCUGUGUUCCUGCCUCUGCUCUACUAUGGUUGGGGUCCUGGAUCUGCACUUGUUCUCCUGUACCCAGGCCCACCCUCACCCUGAGAAUUGGACAUCAGGUCCACUUUUCUGCUUUGGACUCUGCCUAUCUCUUAAGUCAUAGAUUGAACUUGUCUUUCUAUUUCUCUGCUCCUCCCACCCACGCAGGCCUGAUCCUCCAGAAGCCUCUGCAGGUUUUUCCAGCAGUCUCCUCCACCCACCUCACAUAGAGCUGGAUACUCUUACUUCAAAUAUGCCCAUCACUAUGGCAACACAGAUGCUUUGGUGGUUAUACAACAAUCACUUCACCUGGGAAACAGUGCUGAGGGAAAAAAAAAAUGCCAGCCUUUGUAUGGAAAGGUCAUUGGCAAGGCAGAAGGAACUUCAGGUCACCUCUGCUCCAUGGCUCCACCUGCCACAAUCUCCACUAGCCCUUCUGGAACAUUUUUGCUCCUGCCCAUAAGAAAUUUAAGAGAAUGUAAUACAACUUCCAGACUUUGUGCAACAACAUUAUUUGAGAUGAUGGCUGCUCGAAUGACAUCAGUCCUGGAAAGAGGAGAUGAGGAGCAGAGCUCCUUGCAAAUCUACAGUGCAUUUGAAGGUGGAGAGAAAAACAGUCCAUCCAAGUUUGGAGGUUGGUUGUUACUACAGCACAUCCUAGCGUAUCCCAGCUGAACAGUAGGAAUCCAUCAUUCUAGCAAACAGUUACAGACGUGGAGAUGGAAUUCUGGCAUAUGUUCAGGCAGAUAAAAUGCAAGCUCUGUCCCGCCUCUAUUAUAAUCAGAGUCCUUCAUUAAGAUAAAUGGGAAAGGACAGGUUAUUAUGUCUUGAGUUUCCAACCAAGAACUUCAAGGUCACUCAGAACAACUUCUGCAUUUCAUUUACCAUUGUUUUCUUACAAAAUCAACACUGAAGGUGAUUUCUGGGUCUAAUGAAUCUUGGCACAGUUUCUGUGACAUCUUAAACUUUAAUUACAUUUCAAUUAUUUAAUGACAUUUUACAGGACAGAUGUGAGGCUACAAUUCACUCUGUGCAUUACCAAAUCAGGGGAUGUUUGAACCAAAAUGCUUAACUUGGUAACAUAACUGAAAAGGAUUCAUGGAGAGCAGCCCUCCAAAAUUUCAGAAGAAAACACUGUUCUUUUUAAUCAUUUGUCUGUUAAGCCCAAAACACAUUGUAUUUGUUGGGUCUGGAAUUCCACGUUUGGAAGUGUCAUUUCACUUAUAAGCUGUGUUUGUGAGGUCGGGAUUCAAGGACCAAUCGUAUUUUUCCUUGCCCUUUCCACACAUAAAACUUGGAUAAAAUGUACUUUAUGUGCUAUACAAGUGUUCCAUAAAGCCCACCUUCCAUAGACAUGAAAGAUUUAGGAAAUUUG
ensembl:lncRNA